AUGUGCCUCUGGACUGGAGCUGGGCAAUUUAUCGAUAUCAUAUUGCUAUCAUGAUAUGAGACUAGAUAUCGUCUUAGAUUUUGGAUAUUGCAAUAUGAGUGUUGUCUUUUCCUGGUUUUAAAGGCUGCAUAACAGUAAAG